GAAAUCGAUUUUCCGGUUGAUCCUGCCGGAGGUUACUGCUAUCGAGAUUCGACUAAGCCAUGCGAGUCGAAUGUGCUUCGUGAACCUGGCGGACUGCUCAGUAACACGUGGUCAACCUACCCUUCGGUCCGGCUUACUCCUGGGAAACUGGGGAUAAUUCCGGAUAAGCCACAUAAGCUGGAAUGCUCUGUGGUCCAAAGACUCCGGUGCCGAAAGGAUGGGUCUGCGGCUUGAUCAGGUUAUUUAUUGGGUUUAAUGUACGUACUAGCUUCCGACUGGGUACGGCUUGUGAGAGCAAGAGCCCGGGAGAUGGAUUUCUGAGACACGAAUCCAGGCCUUACGGGGGUGCACCAGCCGCGAAAACUUUACAAUGCGGGAAACCUUGAUAAGGGAAUCUCGAGUGCCAGCAUAUAAUGUUGACUGUCCAGAGGCCGUAAAAAGCAUCUGUUAGCAAGGCUCGGUCAAGACCGGUGCCAGCCGCCGCGGUAACACCGGCGGCCCGAGUGGUAACCGCUAUUAUUGG
rnacentral:rRNA from 1 species